rnacentral:misc_RNA from 1 species
CAACGUGGCUCAUUUUAGAUAGCCCAUGAAUGAUGGUGUAUCUCUCCCUAAACCAAAUUAGCAAGGCUGUAUGUUAGGUGAAGCAUAUAAGUUCCAAAUGUAUAUGUUGUUUUGCUGCUUUGUUGCAAAUGGUAAAAGUUGUGUGACGUAACAAGAUCGGCCUAUAAUUGCGUGUCUGAUGGGGGUUUCAGAGAUGCUGUAAUGAGAUCGCUUUUUGUUUCCGAGUUUUGAACCGUUCUUAUAUGCAUAUCAGAUAUUGAGAAGAUUUUUCGCUAUGUCAGGGUUUUCGUACGGUGGCGUGUGGUAUUCGAACGUUUGUGGCGACUGAUGAUUUUUGUGCCUAUGCAGCAUGCAGUGGCCAGAAAUGAUGUUAAGACCAUUCUCUUGUCAAAUAAGGGAAGUGGUGCUGGACAACCUAAAAGAAGCUAGAAACGUCAAGAAUUUCUGGUUUCACAAGAUUUGCUCCGAGUCUCCAAACAGAAAUUUGCAGAUCAUCAGUAGCAUAUGACAUUUCCCAUAUCUUAUUUGGUUGGAAAAGGUUUUGCUGCGUCAUCACAUUAAUCAGACUAGUCUGCAAUGAUUUGUAACACAGUAAUAGAUUGUAAGUGUGAUACAGAAUAUUUAUUUUAAAGCAUAUAUCUGUUGAGAGCAGAGCCAUUUGUACCAUCUUUUCAUACAUUGAUAUUUCACAAGUAUUUAUUAACUUUGUUUUGCCAUUAGUGUGUAGCAUUUACCAAAGCUUUCA